CCUACGGGUGGCAGCAGUGGGGAAUAUUGGACAAUGGGCGAAAGCCUGAUCCAGCCAUGCCGCGUGUGUGAAGAAGGCCUUCGGGUUGUAAAGCACUUUCAGUGGGGAAGAAAGCCUUGGGGCUAAUACCCUCGAGGAAGGACAUCACCCACAGAAGAAGCACCGGCUAACUCCGUGCCAACAGCCGCGGUAAUACGGAGGGUGCGAGCGUUAAUCGGAAUUACUGGGCGUAAAGCGCGCGUAGGCGGUCUGAUAAGCCGGUUGUGAAAGCCCCGGGCUCAACCUGGGAACGGCAUCCGGAACUGUCAGGCUAGAGUGCAGGAGAGGAAGGUAGAAUUCCCGGUGUAGCGGUGAAAUGCGUAGAGAUCGGGAGGAAUACCAGUGGCGAAGGCGGCCUUCUGGACUGACACUGACGCUGAGGUGCGAAAGCGUGGGUAGCAAACAGGAUUAGAUACCCCAGUAGUC
rnacentral:rRNA from 1 species